rnacentral:lncRNA from 1 species
AAGGGAUAAUGCAUAGAGAUCUCAAACCCGAAAACAUUCUCAUGGACGUAGACGGCCACGUGAUGCUAACUGACUUUGGAUUAGCGAAGGAGUUCGAAGAGAACACAAGAUCAAACUCCAUGUGCGGGACUACUGAGUAUAUGGCACCUGAAAUCGUUAGAGGAAAAGGUCAUGAUAAGGCUGCUGACUGGUGGAGCGUUGGGAUUCUUCUCUACGAGAUGCUCACAGGAAAGGUAAAAAGCCUUACUCAUUCAUGCCUGGUGAUAUAAGUGUGUUGUGUGAUACCAUUUUUUUUGGUUUGUCCUUUUUGCAGCCACCGUUUAUGGGGAGCAGAGGAAAGAUAGAGCAGAAAAUUAUAAAGGACAAGAUCAAGCUUCCGCAGUUUCUGUCUAGUGAAGCUCAUGCCUUGCUGAAAGGGGUAAGAAAGCAUGCAAACCCUCUUGGUAAGCCAUAUAAGACCGUAUCUGAUUGUGACUUUGUAAUGAAUGUUAUAUAGCUGCUGCAAAAAGAGCCAGAGAGACGACUUGGAAGUGGACCUAGCGGAGCAGAGGAGAUAAAAGGUCACAAAUGGUUCAAGGGGAUGAACUGGAAGAAGCUGGAGGCUAGAGAAGUGAAGCCAAGUUUCAAGCCGGAGAUAUCUGGAAGACAGUGCAUAGCGAAUUUCGACAAGUGUUGGACUGAGAUGUCUGUGUUGGAUUCCCCAGCAAACAGUCCAAGCUCGGAUCCUAAGGUCAAUCCGUUCACCAACUUCACGUAUGUCAGGCCUCCUCCAUCAUUCCUUCAACAGUCCACAACGACUCUGUAGAGAGUGAGAUAACCUUAUGUUUCUUUUUUACAUUUGAAGUCUAUUAUUGUAAGGUAAUAAGAUAUGAGUUGCUUGAACCAUAUAUUACUUAGUAGGGAUUAUUGGUUGUUGUAUUUUAAUGGAUUUGAAAAUCCGAACCAAAUCUACUGUUAUUGGUUCUAUGAUUUUCAAAUCUGUAUUAAAAUCAUGUGUUAUUGGUUCAAUGAUUCAUAAAUUCUAUAUCAAAUCAAGUGUUAUUCAAUCGUACGGAUUUACUAAUAUAUUUGAUUUAAUAAUGGAUUUGAAUGAAUUUUUUAGUUAAAAAUAUAAAGACUCAAAUCCGAGGAAAAACUUCCGGAUUUGCAUAUUUUACUUGGAUUUAUAAAUACUAUAUGGAUUUCUAAAUCAAUCAAAAUAUAUAAACCAAUAACAAGUAGAGUAAACUUAAUAAUCUCCAGAAAUAAUUUUCUAAACAUGAUUGUUGAAUUUGAAUAAAAUAACGUUUGAUGGGGUUUUUAUAAAUAAUUUAUUGUUGAGUAAAGCAUGUAGUUUUAGUGUUUUGUUGUGCUUAGAAUCCACAAUGUUGGUGAUAAUGAUUGUAAAUACUUUGAAAUAUAUUCAAGGGGUUUAUGAUAAUGAUUGUACCUAUUUUGCUUGAAAAACAUGUGAUCUUAAAAAGAAGAAUAUAUGUAAAAAUUUAUUUCCAAAAUUACAUUAGUCUAGUGCAUCCCCUUUAGUUGCCUUUAUGGAACUAGACAAAUUAGUUGGCUUGCAAAAAAAAAAAAAAGGGAAAUAGACAAGUAUUCGUAAUAAAUAAUAAAAUAUUCAAAAAAAACCUCCGCCGCGUUAAAACAACUUGGCAACGAUCUUCCAAUAAAAAUCGAACACGUGUCGAGAUCCCUUGAUCCACGAUGCUUCUCUAUUGUUGUGUAAUAACAUAAAGGAGGCACGCGCCUCAGAAACCUGUUGGAUGCAGGUUUGGGAUUUCUAGCGUUUCCUCUUUAAAAUCUCCUAAUCUCCUCCUUCCUCACGCAUCUUCUCUCCUCUCCCUCUGGUAAUCUUCUCUCUCUCUCUCUUUGACUUUUCUCCCCUCAGAGUUUUGAUUUCUUUACUUCAUCUUUUGUUUCUACGACACGAAACCUUUGUUUAGUUCAGGUCAUAUAUGUUUUAAUCUAUAUCUGGAUUUGUUUGAAUUAUGCAUGUGUUACCUGUUUUCUUGAUUUAAAACUAGAUCUGAAUUAUAGAGCUUCGAGUUUUCGUUGUGUCUCCUCGUGAAUUAUAAUUCUGCUUUUAACGAUUCUGAAUAAGGAUUUUAUUCGAGAUUUGUCUUCUCAUUGAAAAAAAUUAUAUAAAUAUUUCUGGUGGGAGGAAUGAUCCUGUAAUAAUAUUCGGUCGGUGCCAAAUUUUCUUAUUUUAUGUUGACUUUAGUUUUUGAUAAUUUAUGGUCAAUUCUCUGUGAUUCAAUAUUUUGAUAUGAUGAUCAUGUCUCUUAGCAUCUGACCUUGUGAUUUUUUUGAUGAACUUGCAGAGCUUAGAGCACUUUUAUGGCAUUGGAGCACUUGUGCAGCAACCUCUGUUUCCUUGUAUUAGGGAAACAACUAGAGCUUCUCCUCCUCCUCAACAUUGGUUUGAGUCUUCUCCUCAUUAACAGGACACCCUAACCAAAUCUGUUGAAAGCUUUUCUCUGUGAUUGAGAACAAUAUGGUUUCCUCUGAGUGUCCUGUUGCCAACAAAAACGUGACCGGGAAACACCUGUUUCUAACCAUCACCCCACCACAAGCUGUCUUGAAAGAAAACCUCGAGCUUGACUUCUCUGACGUCUUUGGUCCACUCCCCGAAGACCCCACCGACGUCGCUUUCGACGAGCCUGCUGUUAUCCACAGCCGAUCCCACUCCUUGGUUGGACCCUCUCUGAUCACUAGUCAUUCUUUCAAGCUCAGCAAGCUUACCUUACGAGAGACCAACGACUCUGUUGACUUGGUGGAAUGUCUCGAAGAAGGUGAAUCCUCUUGUAACUCCGACACCGAAGCUGUGUCCAAAGUCUCGGGUGGUGUGGUAGGUAUCGAGGACUUUGAGGUUUUGAAGGUUGUGGGACAAGGUGCGUUUGGGAAAGUGUACCAGGUGAGGAAGAAGGAGAGUUCCGAGAUUUACGCGAUGAAGGUUAUGAGGAAAGAUAAGAUUAUGGAGAAGAAUCAUGCUGAGUAUAUGAAGGCUGAGCGUGAUAUUCUUACGAAGAUUGAUCAUCCUUUCAUUGUUCAGCUUAAGUACUCUUUUCAGACUAAGUAUAGGCUCUAUCUUGUGCUUGACUUUAUCAACGGAGGGCAUCUUUUCUUCCAGCUCUAUCACCAAGGGCUUUUCAGGUUUGGUUUUAACUCCUUUUUUCAACUUUGGCCCUGUUCGUUUACCUGUCACAUGUAACCUGCGAAUCGCGACACCAGUCGCAGAUUAGAUUAUUAUUCGUUUUGCUAUCGCCUGACCUACGACUGGUUGCAAGUCGCUGCGCCUGCGACUGGUUGCACUGCCCCUGCGACUGGUUGCAAGUCGCUGCAACCAGUCGCAGGUCGUUGUUCGUUCGGGUGUUGUAGAUUGCGCUUCAAGUCGCGACCAGAAAUUAAAAUUUUGAGUCAUGCGAAGGUCAUCCAACACGUAAACGAAUAUGAUUUUAGUCGCAGGUUGCGUGACAUGAUUUUAGCUGCAGUGUCGCGUGACACUGCAAUGAACAGGGCAUAUGUUUUGAGUUUCAGUAUAAUUUUGCAAAGCUUGACUAGUUUUUUUUUUUUGUUUGGUCAACAGAGAGGAUUUGGCUCGGGUGUACACUGCGGAGAUCGUCUCUGCAGUUUCCCAUCUCCAUGAGAAUGGGAUAAUGCAUAGGGAUCUGAAACCGGAGAACAUACUAAUGGACACUGAUGGUCACGUGAUGCUAACUGAUUUUGGAUUAGCAAAGGAGUUUGAAGAGAACAAAAGAUCAAACUCAAUGUGUGGGACUACUGAGUAUAUGGCACCUGAGAUCGUUAGAGGAAAGGGGCAUGAUAAGGCUGCUGACUGGUGGAGUGUUGGGAUUCUCCUCUAUGAGAUGCUCACUGGGAAGGUAAGACAAGCCUAAUGUAGUCUUGGUCUUUAUUUUAGUUCAUAGCUUGA